rnacentral:rRNA from 1 species
CUUUUUAUGAGAGUUUGAUCCUGGCUCAGGACGAACGCUGGCGGCGUGCCUAAUACAUGCAAGUCGAACGCUUUUUCUUUCACCGGAGCUUGCUCCACCGAAAGAAAAGGAGUGGCGAACGGGUGAGUAACACGUGGGUAACCUGCCCAUCAGAAGGGGAUA